AAUACAUAAACUUAAAAAAAUAGACUUGAUACAAUGGCAUAUAGAAGUCUCCUAGAGGUAUCUGAACAUGUGAAAGGGACCUGUUUAAGAAGAAUUGGUGUGACAGUAAAUUAGGUAGACAAAUAUGGGGUAUGGACAUUAGGUUUGGUGCUGGAAUGGGGUACUGUGAGUCACAACAGGGUAUGAUUAGGGAUCUAAAUCCUCCAACUGACUCAGUAAGGUUUGGUUAAUCUUUUAGCAUAAUCUCUGUGCCAGAGGCAGCUCAAUGGCCUUCUUGGUUGGCCUUUUCCAUUUCAACUCAUAUGGCCUUUUCCAUUUCAACUCUUAAGGCCAAGAAUCCUUCAUUCUUGGUCUUACUACUGUGACAACCAUAAGAGUCUGAGAAUGAUGAUCCCACAGAAAAGAAAGCCCUUCUCCUCAAUGGCUAAAGAAUCAGAGAAGCUAAGCUGGCCACUCCAUAUAUCUUCUCCUUUGAACUCCGUAGUGGUAUUCAAAGCCUUUCAAAGGCUGAGUCGCCUCUUGAGCAGGAGGUCUUAUGCUUCUAUUAACAUGAUGAAAAGAAAGAACCUGAUGACAUGUUGGUUUUUUUCUCAAGGAAAGAAGAGGAGAGAAGGAAAAGAAAAGAAAAGGAAGGUGUCUUCUAGGAGGAAGAGGAAUAUUUUCACCUUUUUAUUCUUCUUGAUGAAAACUCUUUCUACCACCUACCAUAUACUUGUGAUGUCUCCUUUAUGCGGGUAGCUCCUGGCUAAGAAGCCAGGAAUUCUCCAUUGAUCUUUUAUAUUUAUGAAUGUCUUUUGACCAGCUAUACUGACAGUCUUUUGUUCUGGACUAUAUUUUCAAGAAUGAAGAGUGAAUAACCUUGGAAAACAGAGAUAGUAGCACAGGAUGGAGAAGGAGCAAAGGGUUCUUACAAGGAUUAAAUAAGUUCACAUUUGCGAACUGCUUGGACCAGUGCCUGUAAUAUGAGCGCUUUGUGGUACGUCCAAAGGAAGUACGUGCGGGUGCCCCAGCCUUCCCCACAGAACAAUGGACUGCCACUUCAAGUGAGCUGCUACACGCUCAGCACAGACUCAGACAACACAAGAAAAUAUAUAUCAAGGUUUUUUAUCAUGGAGAAGUUCAGCGUUUGGGGAAAAGCAAGAUUUACGCACAAGAAGCGAGUGGAAGACAAUACAAGGCGAAUGCCUGAUGCAGCAAUGAAGUUGUCCCUUCUCAAUCUCAGGAAACCCCUUAACCUCACAAAACCUUAGCGUUUGCUUUUCUCAUUACAGAGCCCUAAAGCAAACAGGAACUGAGGCAAAGAGAUUUAAAUUAGAAGAGCAACUUAGUAAUAAUAAUGCUUGUAGUACAGAGCUUUUCAUGUAUGUUGUCUCAAGGUACUGUAAGACCUUGAAAAACAAUGCUUAAAGGAAGUGGGCAGGGGUUCCACUAUUUUUUUCUGACCUAACUGAUAUUUGGGGAGGCCCAGUGCUAGGGACAGAACAGUGAGGUGAACAGAUUUAUGUGACACUCUUCCUUCCUCAACUAGAUAGAUCACCUCCUCCUCCUCCAUUUCCCUCUCUUCCUUCCUGCUGCAGUUAGUGGAAUCUUAAUUUUCACCCCCACCCCCACCC